CUGGUUGAUCCUGCCAGAGGUCACUGCUAUCAGUGUUCGACUAAGCCAUGCGAGUCAAAUGUUCUUCGUGAACAUGGCGUACUGCUCAGUAACACGUGGACAACCUGCCCUAAGGUCUGGCAUAACUCCGGGAAACUGGGGAUAAUUCCAGAUGGACCAUAGAUACUGGAAUGUUCUGUGGUCAGAAGCUCCGGCGCCUUAGGAUGGAUCUGCGGCCUAUCAGGUAGUAGUGGGUGUAAUGUACCUACUAGCCUACGACGGGUACGGGUUGUGAGAGCAGGAGCCCGGAGAUGGAUUCUGAGACAUGAAUCCAGGCCCUACGGGGCGCAGCAGGCGCGAAAACUUUACAAUGCGGGAAACCGCGAUAAGGGGACACUGAGUGCCAGCACCAUGUGUUGGCUGUCCGCAUGUAUAAAUCACAUGUGUCAGCAAGGGCCGGGCAAGACCGGUGCCAGCCGCCGCGGUAACACCGGCGGCCCGAGUGGUGGCCAUUAUUAUUGGGUCUAAAGGGUCCGUAGCCGGUUUGAUCAGUCUUCCGGGAAAUCUGACAGCCCAACUGUUAGGCUUCUGGGGGAUACUGUCAGACUUGGAACCGGGAGAGGUAAGAGGUACUACAGGGGUAGGAGUGAAAUCUUGUAAUCCUUGUGGGACCACCAGUGGCGAAGGCGUCUUACCAGAACGGGUUCGACGGUGAGGGACGAAAGCUGGGGGCACGAACCGGAUUAGAUACCCGGGUAGUCCCAGCCGUAAACGAUGCUCGCUAGGUGUCUGGGAUGGUGCGACCGUUUCAGGUGCCGCAGGGAAGCCGUGAAGCGAGCCCCCUGGGAAGUACGGCCGCAAGGUUUAAACUUAAAGGAUUUGGCGGGGGAGCACUACAACGGGUGGAGCCUGCGGUUUUAAUUGGAACUCAACGCCGG
rnacentral:rRNA from 1 species